CGUAGGUGCGAGCGUUAAUCGGAUACUGGGCGUAAAGCGUGCGCAGGCGGUUUGUAAGACAGAUGUGAAAUCCCCGGGCUCAACCUGGGACCUGCAUUUGUGACUGCAAGGCUAGAGUACGGUAGAGGGGGAUGGAAUUCCGCGUGUAGCAGUGAAAUGCGUAGAUAUGCGGAGGAACACCGAUGGCGAAGGCGGCGUUCUGGACUGCAACUGACACUGAUGAACGAAAGCCAGGGGAGCAAACGGGAUUAGAUACCCCGGUAGUCCUGGCCCUAAACGAUGAAUGCUUGGUGUGGCGGGUAUCGAUCCCUGCCGUGCCGUAGUUAACGCGUUAAGCAUUCCGCCUGGGGAGUACGGUCGCAAGGCUG
rnacentral:rRNA from 1 species